AUAACAUAUCCAUAAUUAAUUAUCCAACAUUAACAAUCUUACAUCCAUAUUAUAUAAUACAAUAUCCUACAAGUUUGGAUUAAUGUUUAAAUCCACCCUAAACUAAUACAAACAAAAAAAGUUCAAAAUAGUAGCCGUUGGAACAUCAUAUCCAAAAGUAACAAAGGUCUUCAUAACCAAUAUUGUCCUUUCACUUGUCAAUCUACAAAGCAAAGUAGUUUAAAGAGUUAUAUGCAUUAUUUAGAUAUUACAAUAGAGAGAUAUAAAUUUUAUGGAUUAUUUGACAAACCUCAUGGAUCACACAAGGUAUUACUACAAGAAGCUAUAAAGCAUUUACUCCUUUUCCCCUGCACCUGUCCAAGCAACACUUUUCUAAAAAAUUAACCUUGAUUUCGAUUCAAUCAACAAUAAACUUCUUACAAUAAAGGCACAAAGGUCCAAGUGAAGAAUGAAAAAUAGAAAUCUUGAAUAUCAUAUUAUGUAAUACACAUAACAAGAAGCACUUAGGUAAUAUAUUCAUUUCGAAUGCAUUAUUUUAACCAUAAAGCAGUUUAAUGAGUCGGUAAAAUAUCAAUUUUAUAAAUAAAUAAGGGAAUGAUUUCGAGACAAUUUAUCCUUUCAUUCACAAAAGAUUAUACAAAACAUCAAAACAGGUGAAUACGAAAAAGAAUAAAACAAAGACUAUAAAAGCAUAGAAGGCAAUUGGGGUGACAUUUGGUAGGGAAUUAAUAAUAUUGGAAUAACAGAUGUACUAGAUAACUAAUGGAUGCUUGAAUGUUAGAUAACUAAUGUAUGCUUCUGUUAAGAAUAAAUUGUUCCAAAUUCCCAAACAUUCAUUUUCAAAAACAGCAAAUGGGAUAAUUUUUCAAAAUUGUUUAUAUAAAUGUUAGAUCAACGGAGCUACGACUAAGUCAUAUGUACAGUAACACGAUAUCAUUCUGUUGGUUGUCAUUUUGACAGUAGAUUAUAUAGAUUUAAUAUGUUAAAUCAACAUAAGAUCAGAUUGAAGCACCAAGUUUCUGAAUUUUCAAAUUCUCAAGUGAUGGCUUGUACUAAGCAGACCGCUCGUAAAUCUACCGGUGGAAAGGCCCCAAGGAAGCAGCUUGCUACCAAGGCUGCGAGGAAAUCAGCUCCGACUACCGGCGGAGUGAAGAAGCCCCACCGCUACUGCCCUGGAACCGUCGCUCUUCGUGAAAUCAGGAAAUACUAGAAGAGCACGGAGCUUCUAAUCCGCAAGCUGCCGUUCCAGCGAUUGGUUCGUGAAAUCGCUCAGGAUUUCAAGACUGAUUUGAGGUUCCAGAGCCACGCUGUGCUGGCGCUACAGGAGGCGGCGGAGGCGUAUUUGGUGGGGCUAUUUGAGGAUACAAAUCUGUGCGCGAUUCACGUGAAGAGGGUCACCAUCAUGCCCAAGGAUAUCCAGCUUGCUAGGCGGAUUCGCGGCGAGCGUGCUUGAUUUGGUGGUUAAUGCAAUUUGAUUUAGGGUUUCUAGUAGUAUUAGAUAAAGUUAAUAGUUUGGUUUUUAUCGUUUUCUAGACUGUGUCCUGAGGAUAGGGCAUUAUAGGCAUAAUGUGGUUGGGAUUUUAUAAUUGUUUUCUGUAAAUUUUUACAGAUUCUACUCAAGAAAUUGUUUUUUGCUUACUACAGUUUUUAUCUUUACGCUUUAUAUAUAAAAAAAACAUAAGAUCAGACCACAUUUAAUAAUUUAAUAGAUCAAAUCUCAUAUUAUAAGGAUCAAUUGAGUUCCAACUCAAUGUGUACAAUUUAGAUUUGAUAGAUUUCACUCUAAGAAGCUGGAUUGUUGAUAGGUUAAUGAUGUACUCACAAUCUUGGAUGGACUUUCUCAGGAUGAACAAGGCUAACUUGCAGUAGGUGCUCGUACAUUAGAUAGUUAUGCAUGCAUUCUUCAACAACUUUCGCGACCUGCAUCAGUCAGAAAAAACUCAUUUGUGAGAAAGGGGGACAAUGGAGAGCAUGCAAGGAAUAUAUUAUAUUUUAUUAAAUAGAAUAGUACAACCUCAGGAGACACAAAUUCAAUGAAUCCAAAAAUGUCCUGAUUUCCAUGUCUGUUCAAAAGAAAAAAGAAACAAGAUGCAUUAACGGAGGACUGGAUAUCUUGUCUUAUUGCAAUUUGCACAGUUCAAUAUUAGUAUAUUACCCUCUUCGAAACUUUAAAAUACACAUAAUCAAGUUACCAAGUGCGUUUUUACUUUGAUUGAUGAAUAAAAAAUGUUCGAUCUCACAUAUACACUAAUAUGUCAACAAGCUGAAAACUACACAAAGUAGUCAUUCCGAUUCCAAGAACAGUAAAAGGAAACACUAAACUACUUUUAGAAUAUAGUUCUUAAAUUUAGAACCAGACAACUUAAGUCUAUCCAGCAUUCAAAGAUGUGAAGUGAAAAGAAAUUGAUCACUAGUCUAAAGUUCUUAAAGUUCAUGUGAUGCAAAAUUGUGUUUGCAGUCAUAAUACUAAACCUAAAUAUCAUAUUCAUUAAGAGAAGCAAUUUGAAAAUGUUUAUCACCACAAUGUACUAGAUAACUAAUGGAUGCUUGAAUAAAUAGCAUAAUAGAAGAUGCAAAAUUAUGAUUGACUAACUUACAGCCUCAAAUUACUCAAACUUCCAAGGUUU
rnacentral:lncRNA from 1 species